UACGGAGGAUGCAAGCGUUAUCCGGAUUUAUUGGGCGUAAAGCGUCCGCAGGUGGUUAUUCAAGUCUGCUGUUAAAGCGCGAGGCUUAACCUUGUACAGGCAGUGGAAACUGGAUGACUAGAGUAUGGUAGGGGUAGCGGGAAUUCUCAGUGUAGCGGUGAAAUGCGUAGAUAUUGGGAAGAACACCAGUGGCGAAAGCGGACUUCUGGGUUGUUACUGACGCUGAGGUACGAAAGCGUGGGGAGCAAACGGG
rnacentral:rRNA from 1 species